GUGGGGAAUCUUAGACAAUGGGCGCAAGCCUGAUCUAGCCAUGCCGCGUGAGCGAUGAAGGCCUUAGGGUUGUAAAGCUCUUUCAGCUGGGAAGAUAAUGACGGUACCAGCAGAAGAAGCCCCGGCUAACUCCGUGCCAGCAGCCGCGGUAAUACGGAGGGGGCUAGCGUUGUUCGGAAUUACUGGGCGUAAAGCGCACGUAGGCGGAUCAGAAAGUCAGAGGUGAAAUCCCAGGGCUCAACCUUGGAACUGCCUUUGAAACUCCUGAUCUUGAGGUCGAGAGAGGUGAGUGGAAUUCCGAGUGUAGAGGUGAAAUUCGUAGAUAUUCGGAGGAACACCAGUGGCGAAGGCGGCUCACUGGCUCGAUACUGACGCUGAGGUGCGAAAGCGUGGGGAGCAAACAGGAUUAGAUACCCGGGUAGUCC
rnacentral:rRNA from 1 species